GAGAGUUGAUCAUGGCUCAGGAUGAACGCUAGCUACAGGCUUAACACAUGCAAGUCGAGGGGCAGCAUGAAGUUUGCUUGCAAACUUGAUGGCGACCGGCGCACGGGUGAGUAACGCGUAUCCAACCUGGCCCACAGUAGGGAAUAGCCCGGCGAAAGUCGGAUUAAUGCCCUAUGUUGUAUGAAGAAGACAUCUGAUUUAUACCAAAGGUUUACCGCUAUGGGAUGGGGGAUGCGUCUGAUUAGGUAGUAGGCGGGGUAACGGCCCACCUAGCCGACGAUCAGUAGGGGUUCUGAGAGGAAGGUCCCCCACAUUGGUACUGAGACACGGACCAAACUCCUACGGGAGGCAGCAGUGAGGAAUAUUGGUCAAUGGGCGAGAGCCUGAACCAGCCAAGUAGCGUGCCAGGAUGACGGCCCUAUGGGUUGUAAACUGCUUUUAUCGGGGGAUAAAGUGCGCCACGUGUGGUGUAUUGUAGGUACCCGAUGAAUAAGGACCGGCUAAUUCCGUGCCAGCCGCAGC
rnacentral:rRNA from 1 species